CACCUCUCCAUCUUCUGUGCAUCUCCCUCAUCAUUGUCUCUCUACACAGCUGGAUAGGACACUCCCAGGGAUGUUAAAUAAAAAUCCACUUAUGGAUCUGCAGAUUUUGUUUUCUUCCUGUGCCAGUCAGCGGACAACUGGUUUUUCACCUUUUGGCUCUGAUGAACAGGAAAGAGUUGCUAGGACAUGGCCUGAAUAUUAGGAAAGUGCCGAUCUGCACGCAUCAUCCUGACUGAGUGGCAUGGGAGAGUUUCAAGAUAGGCAUGAUCUUCGGUGAAAUGGAAAGGGUUAUUAUUAUUAUUUUUUAAUGGUAUG
rnacentral:lncRNA from 1 species